UCUGCCCCCGCCCCGCAGCCCCGCAUCCUCCCGUCCCCGCCAUGGCGGCGGGCCCGGCUCCCCGCGCGCCGCCGUAGGAGGGGAAGGAGCGGAGCCGGCGCGGGGCCGGUUUCCGGCGGGUUAUUUAUUCCUUCCCUCGCACUUUAAGUUCCCAGCGGAGCGGGCGGGCCGGCACCUGCGCCCCGCGACAUGGAGAGCCCGGCCGAGAACCCCAGCAAGGCGGCCGAGUACCUGAAGGAGCUCAACAAGAUCAUCGAGACGCAGCAGGAGCUGCUGGAGAAGCAGAAGCGCCGGAUCGACGAGCUGGAGCAGCAAGUGGCCAAGUUGUACCACGAAAACGCCUGCCUGCAGGACGAGCAUCACCGGCACCUGGCGGCAUGCAGGCUGCAGCCCGUGCCCCCCGCCUUCCCGGCCGUGCUCGGCGCCAUCCAGGAGAACGCCAGGCACGAGAAGUCUGAAGGUGACAGUUCAAGAAGCAUCAGGUAUUUACAAAGCAGGAAGCAGCGAUUCCAUCAGUGUGCUCGGUUUCCCCACCCAAUGUCUUUAAAUACUCUGCACCAGUUUUGCUGUCCAGCUCCAUUGUACCAUACCCAGCUAGCUGUCCCUGCCACACACUCAGAGUACAGUGAUACCUGUGAAAACAAAAAGAUAAUGCAAAGGAUGUUAUAGUACCAAAGAAAUCCCAUCAUUUUCUUGCAGUCUCUACCUGCUUAAUGUUUAAUCACCACCUCUGGGAGCUUGCUAUUUAGUUUAAAGGAAGUGACCACUCGUGGUUGUAUUACUGAUAAAGAAGUGACCUCGUACAAGCUUCCUGCUAAGCCGGCAUCCCUUCCUCCACCCGCCAUAAAGCACAUUAUAGCAUUACAGAUGUAGGUAUUCCAAACUGCUUCUUUGAUAGCCUUUGUGCCUUCUGGUUUGUAGCACCAUUCAUGAUGCUGGCAACUGUGCAUGGCAACAGAGUUCUUCCUUCUACUUGAAAAGAAGAUGGGGGGAGGAGUAAAGGGCAGAUCUGUUAAUCAUCAAUAUUUCUGUGUGUAAAUCACUAGCAGAAGGGGAAUGCAUCCGUUCUGCAUUUUUGGUGGAAUAUGGGCAGUGAAAAUACCUGUGGAAAGUUUCUUUUAAAGGUGUUAAAAAGAAAGGGGUGUAGCCACAGUAUACAUAUACAGGUUAUAUAUAUGACUUAAUGUCAUAUUUCUUUUGGGAAGAACAGAAAUUGUCCUUCAAAAGAGCUUUUGCCUCAGAGUUUAACUCUAAGCAUUGGCCUGGGUUCAUUUGUUUGUUCUUCAUUGUGUUGAAAGUCUUGUCUCUGAGAUUGAAAUGGGUUAAUCAGAUGCUACAUACAAACAAGUUUAACUAUUUGUGGAUUUAAAAGCAAAACCAAAAAAAUCUCAAGCUUAAUUUUCCUAAUGCUGUUCCCUAUGAUUCUGUUCCUCUGUCUCUUUUCUUUCUUGCCCCCUCCUCUUCCU